rnacentral:lncRNA from 1 species
AUAGUAGCUAUAACAUUAGGAGCAUAUCUGGACAAAGAAUUAAAUCGAAGACUAUACUCCCUCACACUUGUAUUACCCUGUCGAAGAUUUAAGAACUGAUCCGCACGGGCCUGACGAGUCUCAUAUGGAAGAUAAUGAUCAAUAAAUGCCUCUUUGAACUCUUUCCAAGUAGCUGGGGGUGCAUCAAUGCCCCUUGACCGUUUCCAGUCUUCAUACCAAUAUAUAGCCUCACCUUUGAAUCUAUACG